ACGUGAAUACCAGAGAUUCUGAGCUAUGACAUUGCGUUUAAGUCUUUUGGAAAGUGACUUUAGAAAAGACUUCAAGGCGGAAUUCUGAACUGCAAUGUAAUGUGCAUGACAGCCUUGGAAGUCUCAUCAGAAAAAGUUCAAAUUUCUUCCAUUGGAGGCCUCAAAUUCAACUUCUUGAUUCGUCAAAGAGGAUUUUAGUCCAAGAGAUGCAGGCCUUUGAUGGUCGAACUUCCUUUUUAUCUCAAGCAAUUCACGAACAUAAAUUAUGGGAAUAUCACCAGGCUGAACCAUAGUACCAGUUUCGCUGUCUUGUGAAGAGAGGACCCCGAGUCCACAAACUUGAAGGAGAAAGAGAGCACAUAAGUCACUUUCCAUUGUAACACCUGACAAUAUUAUUGAUUUUUGAAUUCAGAAGGGGUGUCAUCAGAUUGAAUGCGUCUGCUCCCAUGUAUGACCCACCAUUUCGAUUUUGUUGACAAGCGCCAAUAACAACUGAAAUCCAACUCUCUGAGUCUUUACAUCAUGCUGUCCACAAGCAUCCUUCAGAAACCUAAUCAGUGGUUCAAUAAAAUUCUUAGAUGAUAGCGAAUGCCAAAGUUGAUCAUCACCCUUCAAGUCUUUUUCUGCAUCUUCGAUCACCUGACAUUUAGGACUUCUGUGGAUGUGUAUCAAGUUCAGAUAAAAACUUCAAAUCUGUCUCAGGUUUAUCCGCAUACCAUGACAUCUGCGAGAUUCAUUACUAGUCUUCACGGAAAUCAAAUUUAAGCCAUCUCUGAUAUUAAUGCAUGAUGAGCCUGAACUGUGACGAUUAUCUAAAGAUUCAAGUAAUAUACUGUUGAUAUCUACUGCAACUCUUUGAGAACUGAGGCCUCAGAAUUACUUGUGCAUGGUUUUUUAUCAAAUGAUACUUGCAAAGAAUCACUGCCAGGCCUUACCACAGAAUCUAAUUGCUGUACUGAAAUUAUUCAGGUUGAAAUUUAUGGCUUCUCCAUUGUCAAUGUACCUGCUAUCUAAGAAGAUAGCAAGGUGCUCUAUUGCAAGAACACAGCUGGCUGAUUGUCCUGUGAAGCACUCGUUAUCUGAUCCAAGCACUCGUUCAGCAUCUCCAGAAACACUUUACCCUUCUUUGACGUUCUUGAAGUGUGUUUCCCAAGCAUACAGCUUCAGGAUUUUUAUGUUUAGAAGUGGUUCUGUAAUAGCCUUCAGCUUCCAUAACCAGAAUUUUAUCGACUUCGAAGAGAAACUCCACUUGAUGAGCCACCAGAAUUAUAGUUUUAUGAGCAAGAGCAGCUAUGACUUUUUCAUUGAGAGGAAUUGCAGCUUUGGGGGAAGGCCAA